GGUUCCCUCCGAAGUUUCC
rnacentral:snRNA from 1 species